GUGCAUCACGCCUUUUUUAAGCACUGACAGCAAACAUACAGGUGUGAAAAUGCUGAGCCCUUAGGUUCUGUUGGUUUUUACCAAGAAUGCAUCAUUUUCACCAAAUCUGGCAACACGGAUGUUGAUUUUGCAUCAAAUUUUUGAAAUCCUGAUGCAACUGAAUUAUCUAGAGUGGAGCUCACUGAAACUCUACCGAGCUCCCAGCCUUCGUAACUGACACAACGUGGCACUGAAGGUGCGUAUGGUAGUGAUGAUGAUGUCACAGUGUCCGGUCUAUCAGAGGGACAGAGAGGCAGAGUUUAACAGACAAAAGCUUCACCUGCUGCAGUGACCCAUGAGUGAAGCAAAAUGUAAGAAUAAUCAUAAAUAGUCAUAGUCAUAAAGGUGCAACUACCAAUCGAAUACUUGUUUAAUUCAUCAACUAAGUUCUUGCUGCAGCCAGAUUCUGCAAGGUGCAGCUCUCUUCUCUAACAGCAGGGGGCAGUGAAGCAAACACAGACUGAGGCAGCAGCAGUGAGGGGAGCCAACAAAUAUUAAAUCUGAUUGCUGCAGACCUGAAAUCUGCUGCAAGAGAUGGCCAAUAAAUA